GAUGAACGCUAGCGGCAGGCUUAACACAUGCAAGUCGAGGGGCAGCAUGACGGAACCUUCGGGUUUUGUUGAUGGCGACCGGCGCAAGGGUGCGUAACGCGUGAGCAACUUGCCCGUUUCUGGGGAAUAACCGGUGGAAACGCCGACUAAUACCCCAUAGUAUUGGUUUUAGGCAUCUUUAACCAAUUAAAGAAUUUCGGAAACGGAUAGGCUCGCGUGACAUUAGCUAGAUGGCGGGGUAACGGCCCACCAUGGCGACGAUGUCUAGGGGUUCUGAGAGGAAGGUCCCCCACACUGGAACUGAGACACGGUCCAAACUCCUACGGGAGGCAGCAGUGAGGAAUAUUGGUCAAUGGUCGGAAGACUGAACCAGCCAAGUAGCGUGAAGGAUGACUGCCCUACGGGUUGUAAACUUCUUUUGUUUGGGAAUAAAAGACGCUACGUGUAGCGUUCUGCAUGUACCUUACGAAUAAGCAUCGGCUAAUUCCGUG
rnacentral:rRNA from 1 species